CAAGGAAUAGUUUAAGUAGAAUUUCAGCUUUGGGUGUUGACGGUGGAGCUAGAGCUUCUUCCUUGA